rnacentral:rRNA from 1 species
GUGGGGAAUUUUGGACAAUGGGCGCAAGCCUGAUCCAGCAAUGCCGCGUGCAGGAAGAAGGCCUUCGGGUUGUAAACUGCUUUUGUACGGAACGAAACGGUCCGGGUUAAUACCCUGGGCUAAUGACGGUACCGUAAGAAUAAGCACCGGCUAACUACGUGCCAGCAGCCGCGGUAAUACGUAGGGUGCAAGCGUUAAUCGGAAUUACUGGGCGUAAAGCGUGCGCAGGCGGUUUUGUAAGACAGGCGUGAAAUCCCCGGGCUCAACCUGGGAAUUGCCUUUGUGACUGCAAGGCUGGAGUGCGGCAGAGGGGGAUGGAAUUCCGCGUGUAGCAGUGAAAUGCGUAGAUAUGCGGAGGAACACCGAUGGCGAAGGCAAUCCCCUGGGCCUGCACUGACGCUCAUGCACGAAAGCCAGGGGAGCAAACGGGAUUAGAUACCCCUGUAGUCC